rnacentral:misc_RNA from 1 species
CCGAGUUUACAACUCCCAAACCCCUGUGAACAUACCACUUGUUGCCUCGGCGGAUCAGCCCGCUCCCGGUAAAACGGGACGGCCCGCCAUGAGGACCCCUAAACUCUGUUUCUAUAUGUAACUUCUGAGUAAAACCAUAAAUAAAUCA